rnacentral:rRNA from 1 species
GAUGAAGUUACCAAGAGCGCAUGGUGGAUGCCUUGGCACUAGAAGGCGAUGAAGGACGUGGUUACCUGCGAUAAGCCGGGAGUAGGCGGAAGCUGCCUGUGAUCCCCGGAUCUCCGAAUGGGACAACCCACACAGAGUAAUGUCUGUGUACGUUACGGUGAAUACAUAGCCGUAUCGAGCUAACCCGCUGAACUGAAACAUCUAAGUAGGCGGAGGAAGAGAAAACAAUCGUGAUUCCCUGAGUAGUGGCGAGCGAAACGGGAACAGCCCAAACCUUGCGGUUUUACCGCGAGGGGUUGUAGGGCCUUCGUAUAGGAGUUACCAAUCAUUAGCAUAGCGGAAGUCUCUGGAACGAGACACCAUAGAGGGCGAUCGUCCCGUACGCGAAAUGCUCAAUGACUCCUGGAGGUACCCUGAGUACGACGGAAUAAGUGAAAGUCUGUCGGAAUCUGCGAGAACCAUCUCGUAAGGCUAAAUACUCUUCAGUGACCGAUAGUGAACUAGUACCGUGAGGGAAAGGCGAAAAGAACCCUUCAGAAGGGAGUGAAAUAGUACCUGAAACCGUAUGCUUACAAACGGUGGGAGCGAGUCCGGAUUUAUCCGGAGGAGUGACCGCGUGCCUUUUGCUUAAUGAGCC